GUCCUGUGAUGAAGUUAGUGCCACAUAUCUGGGCUACUGAUCUAAGUGAUAGGAUUGCAGAACAAAAGAC